AACAGAGAUAGCUGCAGUUCUCUGAAAUCUGUACAAAAUGUGUGCUUUUAAACUUGCCUAUCACAAAUCUCUUCAUAACAGUUCACAUUUAUGACAAAAAAUAAUAAGAGAAAGAAAAAGAGGAAAAGGAGAGAAAGAAGAGGAGAAGAGAAGAGAAGAGAAGAGAAGAGAAGAGAAGAGAAGAGAAGAGAAGAGAAAUCAAUUGAAGCCAGGAUGCUAAGACUAAGGCUGAAUAUUCAGAGCAUUUGAUUGAGCUGAAAACAAGAGGACAAGCCAUUUUGCCCCUAUUUGAAUCAGUCAUUUGAAGAGUUUCAAGCUCAGACAAGUUUUGAUGAGUUUGAACUGAAGUAGAAAGUAUUACAGCUGGACUCUGACUUACCAAGGUGCUUCGGCAAACUGACACGAGAGGGCUGAUGACGAGGGGAGGAAGAAUUUGCAUGUUUGAGGAAACGGCACAAAACUUCUUACUUGGUAUGGUGCUUCACCAGGGACUAUCGUUCAUUGGCAUAACAUUCAGAGUUUGAAGCCUUGUCUAAUAUGACCUUCAGGGUGCUUUCCUGACCUACUGCUUUCCAGAAUGCAGAAACACAAUGUUUUUGGUUGUCCUCAAAUGUAUACACUGGGUUUGUUUAUACCAAAACAUUUAGCAAGACCAGCUUGUAAUUUACUUUCUAAAUCUCUUUAAAAACAUAUCACAGUAUUUCUUCAGAUACUCUUGUCCAGUAAAUCACUGUUUGUUAAUUUGUUGUUGAGAUAUGUCAGCUGAAUGGCCCUAAUCUGUUUAAUGUAUGCUGUAUCAAGUGUUUUAUUGCAAUAAUGGGGUUUCACUGAGAAACCGACCAAUGUCUUGCAAACUACUGAGACUAAUAAAAACAUUGUAGCUCUUGAAAAAUAUCUCCUACAAUUUAGUUUAAGUUCUGAAUGGAUCACAAUACAACCUGAU